CCCUUAGAUGUUCUGGGCCGCACGCGUGCUACACUGAGUGGAUCAGCGGGUCAGGUUGCGCGAAAGCGUUUCCUAAUCUUUAAAUCCGCUCGUGAUGGGGAUUGACGGUUGCAAUUUUCUGUCAUGAACGAGGAAUACCUUGUAAGCGCGGGUCAUCAUCCCGCGCUGAUUACGUCCCUGCCCUUUGUACACACCGCCCGUCGCUCCUACCGAUUGAAUGAUCCGGUGAAUAAUUCGGACUGCAGCAGUGUUCAGUUCCUGAACGUUGCAGCGGAAAGUUUAGUGAACCUUAUCACUUAGAGGAAGGAGAAGUCGUAACA
rnacentral:rRNA from 1 species